CUGCUCCCUUCGGUAGCACCCCUACUAAAAUUGGGACGAUACACAAAUUCAUGGCCCCUGCGCAAGGAUGGCACGCAAAUUCGUUAAGGGUUCCAUAUUUUU
ensembl:snRNA U6 U6 spliceosomal RNA